GCUCUGACUUUAUUGCACUACUGUGUUUCACAGCUAGCAGUGCAAUAGUAUUGUCAAAGCAU
rnacentral:pre_miRNA from 2 species